GGUGAAAGCUGCCUUCUCAUUACAGCCAGUUCCUUCCUGGUUCCUAACAGCCAGCACCGGAGGUCAUUUUCCUAUAGAGCUCUGCUAGGGUGAGGAAAGCAAGCUCUUCUGGUCACGAUUUCUUCAGAUUGAGGUGGAAUUUUGGCUCAUGGAGAUCUGAUGUGAUAGUGCUCGUGGGGUUGUGUUCAGACUUAGAUGACAUCAUCUCCUUGUGCUUACAGAUGAUUUUACUAUAGGUUUUAACUUACGCAGAAGUGGACCAUGUGUUUAGGUUUUUGCUUUCUUUAUGCCAUCUAGGACUUCAUUUGGAAACUUGAUCUGAAAAAAAAUGGGUGAAGAGUGAUACAGCUUCUAAAAGUUCUGAAUUAUUAAACUUAAAUUUUGUUUACUUUUU
rnacentral:lncRNA from 1 species